rnacentral:rRNA from 1 species
GACGGAGGGGGCUAGCGUUGUUCGGAAUUACUGGGCGUAAAGAGCGCGUAGGCGGCUUUGCAAGUUGGAAGUGAAAGCCCGGGGCUUAACCUCGGAAUUGCUUUCAAAACUGUGAGGCUAGAGUGUAGUAGGGGAUGAUGGAAUUCCUAGUGUAGAGGUGAAAGUCUUAGAUAUUAGGAGGAACACCGGUGGCGAAGGCGGUCAUCUGGGCUACAACUGACGCUGAGGUGCGAAAGCGUGGGGAGCAAACAGG